UACUCAGAGGCAUCUCACCCGAACUGUAUCGUAACCAGGAACUCUGAGGUGGCUUCCCAGGAGCUUCUUAAGGUAGAGGGAGAUGGAGUGACAUUUGCAUUUUUUUCUUGGAAGAGCUUUUAUCCAAAGUUUAAAACUUCAACCAUGUCGGUGCUUCCUGACUCUUGCUUUUCUCCAGACCUGCCUUCUGAGUCCCAAGGCCACGUGUCCCCCUGAAAUCACUCCAACACCUCCAAGCAGUAGUGUCACGGCUGGGCUCAUUGUCCCCUCCGAAGCUGGCGCUUCUUUCUCCCUCUGUGCCCACAAAAUGGACCGUCCUCCUGGUCACUCAAAUCAGAAGGCCGAGCAUCACCCAGACCCUCCUCCAUCACCCCCGAGGCCAGCCGCUCACCCCAAUCCUGCCUGGACCCCCCUUCCUCACACCUCUCCUUAGCAUUUCCAGCUCUUUUUAUAAAACCUUCUCUGCUAGCAGUCCAAGAACAUACCGGCUGUCAUUGUCCUUCACAUGUCGUGCAAAAUCCUUCAUGCUCACCCCAGGGCCCAGUGUGUCCCACUCUGUGCCGAAGCCCAGACACGGCGGGGACCAGAGGAGCCGACUGCCUGCCCUCAGGGACGUCCCAGUCCAGACGCGCUCGGCGGGAUUAGCAGGUCACCGUCAGCCCCAUUUCACAGAUGCGGAAGCUGCGGCCUGAAGGGGUGUUCCCACGUCCACGUGGACUCCAGCCCACACAGAGCUGCCCCUGCCCUCUCGCGCACACACAGUUUCACAG